GAUGAAGAACGUAGCGAAAUGCGAUACGUAAUGUGAAUUGCAAAUUCAGUGAAUCAUCGAGUCUUUGAACGCACAUUGCGCCCCCUGGUAUUCCGGAGGGCAUGCCUGUCCGAGCGUCAUUGCUGCCCUCAAGCACGGCUUGUGUGUUGGGCCCCGUCCUCCGAUCCCGGGGGACGGGCCCGAAAGGCAGCGGCGGCACCGCGUCCGGUCCUCGAGCGUAUGGCGCUUUGUCACCCGCUCUGUAGGCCCGGCCGGCGCUUGCCGAUCAACCCAAAUUUUUAUCCAGGUUGACCUCGGAUCAGGUAGGGAUACCCGCUGAACUUAAGCAUAUCAAUAAGCGGAGGA
rnacentral:misc_RNA from 1 species